AAAAAAAAAUUUGUAAUUUAAUUCUUGUGUUACUUGAUUUUCGUUCCAUCAUAGAGUAAGCACCAGGCAGGGCAAAUAAACUUUAGCCUUUGGUCUCUGGGUCGCUGCGUCGCUAUUCGCCAAUCCAAACAAUGAAGGUGCAAGGCGGUGGUGAGUGGUGACAGCGGCUCAGCUGGCUGCCGUGGGACAUACUUCGCUACUCCUCUUCUGGCUAGAUGGAAAUUUCAGCGAGGGGAACACAGGCAGGACAGCGGAGGACCUGGACAUGAUGAUGAGGUCUUGUAGUGAACCAGCAUGGUGCUGGGGCCUGGCCAGACUGAUGGAUCCCAUAAUUACAGUGCCCUCAUUGGCUGCCUAGCACUUGAUGGGAUGGACAAUACUUCCUUCUCAAUACAUCAUGUAUUGUAUGAUGGACAAUACCUCCUUCCACUCAACACAUCAUGUAUCGUAUGAUGUUCUGCAACAUUAACUCUAUCUAACAUACAUUCAAUCAGCCCCAAGUUGUGGUCUCACAUCACCACCUUCAAUGCCCAACAAGAGCAAGGAUGACUAGGGAAAUGUGGAGCUGUUGUCUCAGGUGUCCAGUGCUGGGGGGAAUUGUACAACAGUGCCACAGGUUUCCUGCCACAGAUAAAACUGUGUGGGUGUUGUCAGACACAUUCCUUUUGGCAUGGUUGGCUUAGCUGGUAUCAUGGCUGCUCCACACUUGCAGUUGCCCCCUCCUCCAGACGGUGAUCCACAUGAGUAGAACUGCCGCACUGCACCUUAUUCCCCGACUGUGCUUCUGGUGUGUUCCUCACUGCUUCAUUCUGGUCCUCAGGAGCACCAGCCAGUUGAACCACACUACUUCCAACAACGCUUGCUGCACUCUUGUUAUCAGGGGUAGUGGCCAACUGAUUUCUUUCUUUCACAAUUAACUUGUGCCAGAAGUACGCUAUUUUGCCUUCUUUAGCUUUGCGUAGUAGUGGAAUCUGUUCCUUGACAAGCUCCUGUGAAGCUAGGUACAGAUCCUUCCUUGCAUUUCUUGUAACCACUUGGAUUUGGGUGGUUUUGAAUGAAACAACUACUGUAUUAGCCACAUAAUAUAGUUUUAGGCUUUCUGAUUAAAACAAUCCAUUCAGAAAUGGUAAUUUUAUUUUGAAGUUUGGUCAUAAUCAUACAAAUGGAUGCAAAACGACCCAAAAUACUGAAAAAAAAAUUAUUCAGCUUGGAUAUUUAGUCCUUUAUCAGCCAUUUCCAGUGUUCUGCUUCAAUCCCAAAAAUACAGUAAUAUUAAGUCUCUCUCUCUCUCUCUCUCUCUCUCUCUCUCUCUCUCUCUCUCUCUCUCUCUCUCUCUCUCUCUCUCUCUCUCUCU
rnacentral:lncRNA from 1 species